rnacentral:lncRNA from 10 species
CACACAGUAGCAUGACAGGCCUAUGGUUAUCUGAUUGGCACACCGUAACUGCUCUAUUUCGUGCAUUUACACUUAAGCCUCUAAUAAUAGUUCUUUGAAAAGCACUGUCUUGUAUUUAACUGAUGAUUGGCUCCAGCAAUUAAAUCCUACCACACUUUAGAAUGCUGGACUAUUCUGCUGCUUCCCAGAGUUGGAAAGAAAGGAGUUGACUCACAUCUUACCCAUCUCACUCCAGGCUUCCCAGGAGCAGUCAUUUCUAACCUCUACUACGCAUCAGAGUCAUCCAGAGAGCUUGUUAAAACACAGAUUUCUGCGUCCCACCCUCAGAGUUUGCUGACUGAGAAGGUCUGGGUUGGACCAAAGAAUCUGCAUUUUUUAAAAGUUCCAUGGUCUAGGACCACACUUUGAGAACUGCUGUUCCAAAGAACCACCUGCUUUAUACUCUGGUUUCUCUUCGGAUCAUAUAAAUCUGCCUUUUAAAAAAGCACCUGUUGGAUCUAUGAAACUGAUGCAGCCGGUAGUUUCUCAUUAUGGUCUCAUUACCCUUUACAUUGAAAAAUACAAAGCCACUUCAAUUGCCAUUUCACAGUACAGCCCAUGGCCUGGAACGGGCACAGCUGCCCUCUUUAGGUUGAAAAUAUUUGGCAAAUAAGGAAUGCUGGCAAGAGAGGCUGCAGUUUUGACACCUACACCUUGAUUUGGGAUUCAUUUUUCUCACUCAGGAUUUGGCAAGCGUAUGUCUUCUUUAAAGUGAGACUGAAAAUAAGCUCUGACUCACAAACCUAGCUUAAAACACCACAAAGAGUAAACAACUAUUUCCAUAACUAAUAAUUAUUAAAAUAUGUUUUUGAGUUUUUGCAUAACUUGCCUGUAUAAUGAGAUCUAAGUAUUUACAUGGAAUUUCUACAUUACUGUGUGAAUAAAUUAACAGAACUAAAACCUGCCUCCUGACCUCUAGCCUCUCCCUGAUGUCAGCCUGUGCUCAACCCUG